rnacentral:lncRNA from 1 species
CCGGUGGCACGCCCACGCCCGGCGCCCCCAGGCCACGCUGGCGGCCAGCCCUUGUUGAAAUUGCUCCGGGCCUCCGGUAUGCAAUUUUUUUUUGAAAUUGCUCCAUGACUACUACUCUGCUUACCUUUUACAUGAUUGCUAGUCUAUUUAUGCUAUUUCUAUGCAAAGUAAUGAUAAUGAAUAUUUCAUUUCAUUGAUUUGAGCAGGAAGUAUUUGAGUCUUAGUUUGCAAUUGCAACAUUUCAUAAUCAUAACUUAGAAUGGAGAAAUACUAUGCUAAAUAUAGGGCUGAGAUGUUAAAACUUUUUAUGUAGAAUUGAGGACAUCGGAACAAGUGGAAGUGGUGUUAAUUCAUGAAGACAUGUAUGGUUCUUUUUUUCGUAGAAGUAUUUUUCUACCUUCAAUGUUCUAUGUAUUGUUUGAGUCUAUUGGUUCAACACUAGAAUCUAGAGAAUUAUAUAAUUAUUGUGCUCUUUGAAAAAUAUGUUAUAUCUAGUAGUGCAUGGCUAGUAAGAUUUUAAGCCUUAUAUUAGUUAGCUCGGGGCGGAACCCGGUUCUGGAUCCGCCACUGGUCGUGGUAAUCUGUUGAUGUCAUGACCGGGAGACCAAAUUAAUAUUUUUACAUGAUUUGAGGAUACGAAAAAAUGUAAAUGAGAUGCUAUGACUUCGUUUCUCCAAAAGUCGAGUAGUUCGAGUUUAGAGAAGAGGGUUGUUACGUGCCGCAUGCCUCUGCAGUUGUGAACUGUGAAAAGAAAAUGAAACUAAGAG